GUACUGCGUAUAUUAAUUCCAUACCUCUCAUCAGUAUUUUCGUGAUAUCUCGCCACCGUUUAUGGCUUCCCUCGAUUUUUUAACCGUCGUCGUUCGAAGGAAUUGCGGAGGAGUGACGAACCGAAACGCGCCUCGGUUCAAAAAACCGGAAGUUACCGCGCUUACACUGUAACCUCGCGAAGUUGGCCGCGAAACGACGCGACGUAUCGAAAUCGAAACUACGCGCCAAUUGUAAGCAAAACGUCUACCGUUUCUAACGGUUACUGUUGAUGAAACUACGAAACGUGCGUCUACGUUGUUAAACUACGUUAUUAAAACCGCGUUACUACGAUCACGAGGGUUAUUCUACGAAAGGGUUACCAAAGAUCCAGUAAACGAUGGAAUAUCAUCGCAACUCGAAUCCAUGAAAAUUCGAACAAACGAUCACGUGGUACUUAACUGUCCUUUAUUGAAAAGCUAUGCUUUUCAGGACCGGUAUAGUGCCGACUAAGGGCAACGUUUUUUAUUGGUUGAAAGCAAUAGUUUUAUCGAAAAUGCUACGUGUUCAAAUUUGAACAGAAACAUCGUAAUACGACAAAAGCAAAAACAUCAUGCUUCUUGAUCUAUGAAAGAAAGCGAAUGCAUCGAAUUAAGAAGAAACGUAAAAAUGAAUCAAAAAAUUCAUCUUAAAUAUCGGGUCGGGUGACGUACUUAAUGAAUUUUCAAAUUUACUUGAAAAUUAAACGACCAUUCAACGAUAUGUUUAAUUAGUAAAUUAUUUACUGUCGAACACACGACUGGUCGUGCGCACAUCAACGGUGAAAGCCGUUCAAAUAAAUGAAUGAAUUUUUAAGAUUAACACAGGAA